AUAAGAAGAAGAAGAAAGAUACCAAGAUAAAGUCAAUCUCAAAUUGAAGAAAGAAAGAAACAUGCCUCAUAAAAACAUAAAGGAGAAACAGAAAAAGGUUACCGUAAGAAACAACAUCAAAAGUAGUAAAGCCAUUUGAAGUUAACCUCAAAUACAAUUCUACUGCAAACUUGGGGAAAUAGAAUUUUUUUUUUUUUUAUAUACCUUCAUUUACAUUUUCCCCCUUUCUUCUCCUCCAUUUUAUAAUCCAUAAAUUCGAAUUGAGUUCUGUCCAAUUCUAUCAAAUCCUUCAACCAUAUCAGCAAAGACAACGGAGGAUUGAUGGUCUUGUUAAGAUGCUACUUCGACUAAGUUAUGACACCGGAAUGCAGUUACUAUUUUUAUGGGUAAUUUUUGGAGCUAAUUUUCAUAACUCUAAUGUUUUAGGGAAUGAAAUGCACUGGCGUUUUCAAUCACAUUCAAUCAAGUUCACCAACUUCAUAUAAAAAAAUAAUCAUAAAAGAAACUGAAAAAAUCUAAACGAGUAAUAGUGAAUACAAGCUGUUUUUUCAUUUUUUUUUUUUAGGAUCACAGCAAAAGCAUACAUUAUUUCAUGCAUCCAAUUCCAAAUUAAGUGAAGUAAUUUAACUAAAAUCUAGACAGUUUAACUCAGAGAAACUAUUUUCUGAUAAAAUUAUUGUUGAUGGUGUCUCACAUAAGUAAUGUAUGCAUCCAUCCAUAGUGCGUAAUGAAAGCAGCACAAGAAGUAGAAAAUAGUUUUGAACAUGGAAUACCUUGAUUGAAAACAUUAAUGUUCAGUCAUAAGGUGCAUAGCAGAAAUAAAAUUGCAUCAUAAUAAGCAGAUUUACCUGCUAAUAGUACGGUCUUUUGCA
rnacentral:misc_RNA from 1 species